rnacentral:rRNA from 1 species
AUACGGAGGGGGCUAGCGUUGUUCGGAAUUACUGGGCGUAAAGCGCACGUAGGCGGAUUAAAAAGUUAGAGGUGAAAUCCCAAGGCUUAACCCUGGAACUGCCUUUAAAACUAGUAGUCUAGAGUUCGAGAGAGGUGAGUGGAAUUCCAAGUGUAGAGGUGAAAUUCGUAGAUAUUUGGAGGAACACCAGUGGCGAAGGCGGCUCACUGGCUCGAUACUGACGCUGAGGUGCGAAAGCGUGGGGAGCAAACAGGAUUAGAAACCCUAGUAGUCC